GACGAACGCUGGCGGCGUGCUUAACACAUGCAAGUCGAACGGAAAGGCCCUGCUUUUGUGGGGUGCUCGAGUGGCGAACGGGUGAGUAACACGUGAGUAACCUGCCCUUGACUUUGGGAUAACUUCAGGAAACUGGGGCUAAUACCGGAUAGGAGCUCCUGCUGCAUGGUGGGGGUUGGAAAGUUUCGGCGGUGGGGGAUGGACUCGCGGCUUAUCAGCUUGUUGGUGGGGUAGUGGCUUACCAAGCCUUUGACGGGUAGCCGGCCUGAGAGGGUGACCGGCCACAUUGGGACUGAGAUACGGCCCAGACUCCUACGGGAGGCAGCAGUGGGGAAUAUUGCACAAUGGGCGGAAGCCUGAUGCAGCAACGCCGCGUGCGGGAUGACGGCCUUCGGGUUGUAAACCGCUUUCGCCUGUGACGAAGCGUGAGUGGCGGUAAUGGGUAAAGAAGCACCGGCUAACUACGUG
rnacentral:rRNA from 1 species